rnacentral:rRNA from 1 species
ACGAACGCUGGCGGCGUGCUUCACACCUGCAAGUCGCACGGAAAGGCCCUGCUUGCAGGGUACUCGAGUGGCGAACGGGUGAGUAACACGUGGGUGAUCUGCCCUGCACUUCGGGAUAAGCCUGGGAAACUGGGUCUAAUACCGGAUAGGAGCCAUUUUUAGUGUGAUGGUUGGAAAGUUUUUUCGGUGUAGGAUGAGCUCGCGGCCUAUCAGCUUGUUGGUGGGGUAAUGGCCUACCAAGGCGGCGACGGGUAGCCGGCCUGAGAGGGUGGACGGCCACAUUGGGACUGAGAGACGGCCCAGACUCCUACGGGAGGCAGCAGUGGGGAAUAUUGCACAAUGGGCGCAAGCCUGAUGCAGCGACGCCGCGUGGGGGAUGACGGCCUUCGGGUUGUAAACUCCUUUCGCUAGGGACGAAGCUUUUUGUGACGGUACCUAGAUAAGAAGCACCGGCUAACUACGUG